GCGUGCCGGCCGGGGGACGGACUGGGA
rnacentral:snRNA from 1 species